GUAAAUUUUGUUUCUGGCUGGAUGGGGAGACUCUCAGCUUCCUGCAACAAAGAACUAUGAAUAUUCACUCAGAGAAACCAGACAUUUGGCUUGAUAGUGUUUGAGGGCUCCCAGACCCCAGCCAGAGACCUCAUUGAGUCUGAGUGAUAAAAAUGGAGAAGCCCUUGGGAGUUUCCUUCUUGAUUUUCUCCUGGCAGCUGUGCUGUGAGUUACUGGGCUCUGGAAAUAUCAUAAAAAAGAGCAGACUGUAUGUCCAGGAGGGAAUGCACGCCAUUCUUAACUGUACUUUUCAGGUGAGAACAUUCUUCAAUUUCCACUGGUGUCUGCAGGAUCCAGGGAAAGGAUUUGUGUCUUUGACCUUAAUUCAGUCAAGCCAGAAGGAGCAGGGAGACAAAUACUUUCAAGAACUGCUUGGAAAACAGAAGUUUUAUAGUGUUUGGAAUCUCCCCGACUCUCAUCCAGGAGAUUCAGCCACCUACUUCUGUGCUUUGUGGCAGUGUCUCCCCAGCACCUGCAGCCUGUGCCAUGACCUGCAGCCGGGACCCUUGACACAGGCCUGGCCUUGCAGGUGGGAGUGA